GGUUGCGAUCAUACCAGCACUAAUGCACCGAAUCUCAUCAGAACUCCGCAGUUAAGCGUCUUUGGGAGAGAGUAGUACUAGGAUGAGUGACCCCUGGGAAGUCCUCGUGCUGCAACCC
rnacentral:rRNA from 1 species